rnacentral:tRNA from 1 species
GAGAGUACAGCUCAGUAGUAGAGUGCGUGCUCAGCAUGCAUGAGGUCGUGGGUUCAAUCCCCGGUACUUUCA